AUUGAACGCUGGCGGCAGGCCUAACACAUGCAAGUCGAGCGAGCGGCGGACGGGUGAGUAAUGUCUGGGAAACUGCCUGAUGGAGGGGGAUAACUACUGGAAACGGUAGCUAAUACCGCAUACCAUCAGAUGUGCCCAGAUGGGAUUAGCUAGUGGGUGGGGUAACGGCUCACCUAGGCGACGAUCCCUAGCUGGUCUGAGAGGAUGACCAGCAACACUGGAACUGGACACCGGCCCAGACUCCUACGGGAGGAAGCAGUGGGGAAUAUGGCACAAGGGGGGCAAGCCGGAUGCAGCAAGGCCGCGUGUGUGAAGAAGGCCUUCGGGUUGUAAAGCACUUUCAGCGGGGAGGCGUUACCCGAAGAAGAAGCACCGGCUAACUCCGUGCCAGCAGCCGCGGUAAUUC
rnacentral:rRNA from 1 species